rnacentral:rRNA from 1 species
CGCGUAGGCGGUAAGAUGUGUGUGAUGUGAAAGCCCCGGGCUUAACCUGGGAAGUGCAUCGCAAACUAUCUAACUGGAGUAUAUGAGAGGGUGGCGGAAUUUCCGGUGUAGCGGUGAAAUGCGUAGAGAUCGGAAGGAACGUCAAUGGCGAAGGCAGCCACCUGGCAUAAUACUGACGCUGAGGCGCGAAAGCGUGGGGAGCGAACAGGAUUAGAUACCCUGGUAGUCCACGCUGUAAACGAUGAGUACUAAAUGUUGGUAGGGGAACCUAUCAGUAUUGAAGUUAACACGAUAAGUACUCCGCCUGGGAAGUACGGCCGCAAGGUUGAA